UUAAAAGGAGAAGUGAAUGGGAGUACAUUGUACUCCUUUCUUAUGCAGAUCUCUCUAACUUCAAUGGGGGCCCUGUGUGCGAAAUGGCCGUAGAAUUGGUGAUGAAGAAUCCGUUCUGAAUACCAAGGAAGAACGGAAAAUGCUUGAUUAAAGAAAAUCUGAUGGCACGCUGCAGACUUCAGUUGUACUGCACAGAUGUGCACACAUGCACGUGUACCUCUACAUGAGGACGCAUGAAGAUUUUCAUUCCCAUGUGCAGCAACGCCAACUGGGGAAGACAGAAGCUUUGGUGAUGCAGCAUUGCAGACGAAUCAACCGCCACCAGGACACACAGACACCAAAAUUAAAGAUGGGAAUACGCGUGUAGCGGGCUCAAUUGGCACCCAUUAAACCUAAUCACUACCCAUC